rnacentral:rRNA from 1 species
GAUGAACGCUGGCGGCGUGCCUAAUACAUGCAAGUCGAGCGAACGGACGAGAAGCUUGCUUCUCUGAUGUUAGCGGCGGACGGGUGAGUAACACGUGGAUAACCUACCUAUAAGACUGGGAUAACUUCGGGAAACCGGAGCUAAUACCGGAUAAUAUUUUGAACCGCAUGGUUCAAAAGUGAAAGACGGUCUUGCUGUCACUUAUAGAUGGAUCCGCGCUGCAUUAGCUAGUUGGUAAGGUAACGGCUUACCAAGGCAACGAUGCAUAGCCGACCUGAGAUGGUGAUCGGCCACACUGGAACUGAGACACGGUCCAGACUCCUACGGGAGGCAGCAGUAGGGAAUCUUCCGCAAUGGGCGAAAGCCUGACGGGGCAACGCCGCGUGAGUGAUGAAGGUCUUCGGAUCGUAAAACUCUGUUAUUAGGGAAGAACAUAUGUGUAAGUAACUGUGCACAUCUUGACGGUACCUAAUCAGAAAGCCACGGCUAACUACGUG